CGAACCGAGCGAACGUUGUUCGGAAUCACUGGGCUUAAAGGGCGCGUAGGCGGGGUCAUAAGUCUGUGGUGAAAUCCUCCGGCUCAACCGGAGAACUGCCUCGGAUACUGUGGCUCUCGAGGGUGGUAGGGGUAUGCGGAACUAUCGGUGGAGCGGUGAAAUGCGUUGAUAUCGAUAGGAACUCCGGUGGCGAAGGCGGCAUACUGGACCACUUCUGACGCUGAGGCGCGAAAGCCAGGGGGAGCAAACGGGAUUAGAUACCCCGGUAGUCCUGGCCCUAAACGAUGGGUACUAGCUAGUAGGGUUCACAUGGCUUUACUGGCGAAGCAAAAGUGCUAAGUACCCCGCCUGGGGAGUAUGGUCGCAAGGCUG
rnacentral:rRNA from 1 species